AGAGUUUGAUCCUGGCUCAGGAUGAACGCUAGCGGCAGGCCUAAUACAUGCAAGUCGAACGGCAAGUUGAGUAGCAAUACUUGACCUAGAGUGACGUACGGGUGCGUAACACGUAUGCAACCUACCCAAAACAGGAGUAUAGCUCGGGGAAACUCGAAUUAACCCUCCAUAAGAUAGUAGCAGAGCAUUCUGCAGCUAUUAAAACUCAGGUGGUUUUGGAUGGGCAUGCGUUUGAUUAGCUAGUUGGUAGUGUAACGGACUACCAAGGCGAUGAUCAAUAGGGGAACUGAGAGGUUGAUCCCCCACACUGGCACUGAGAUACGGGCCAGACUCCUACGGGAGGCAGCAGUAGGGAAUAUUGGUCAAUGGAUGCAAGUCUGAACCAGCCAUGCCGCGUGCAGGAAGAAGGCCUUCUGGGUUGUAAACUGCUUUUGUCAGGGGAUAAAAAAUUCCUUGCGAGGAAUAUUGAAGGUACCUGGCGAAUAAGCCACGGCUAACUACGUGCCAGCAGCCGCGGUAAUACGUAGGUGGCGAGCGUUGUCCGGAUUUAUUGGGUUUAAAGGGUGCGUAGGCGGUCCUAUAAGUCAGUGGUGAAAUAUCUCAGCUCAACUGAGAGGGUGCCAUUGAUACUGUAGGACUCGAGUGAAUUUGAGGUAGGCGGAAUUGACGGUGUAGCGGUGAAAUGCUUAGAUAUCGUCAAGAACACCGAUAGUGAAGACAGCUUACCAAGCUUCAACUGACGCUGAGGCACGAGAGUGUGGGGAUCAAACAGGAUUAGAUACCCUGGUAGUCCACACUGUAAACGUUGAUUACUCGCUGUUGGCGAUACACAGCCAGCGGCUAAGCGCAAGCGAUAAGUAAUCCACCUGGGGAGUACGCCGGCAACGGUGAAACUCAAAGGAAUUGACGGGGGUCCGCACAAGCGUGGAGCAUGUGGUUUAAUUCGAUGAUACGCGAGGAACCUUACCUGGACUAGAAUGCCCUUGACCGAUCCAGAGAUGGAUUUUUCCGCAAGGACAAGGAGCAAGGUGCUGCAUGGCCGUCGUCAGCUCGUGCCGUGAGGUGUUGGGUUAAGUCCCGCAACGAGCGCAACCCUUAUCUUUUUGCCAGCACGUAAUGGUGGGGACUCUAAAGGGACUGCCUGCGCAAGCAGAGAGGAAGGAGGGGAUGACGUCAGGUCAUCAUGGCCCUUACGUCCAGGGCUACACACGUGCUACAAUGGCGUAUACAAAGUGUUGCAAGCCAGCGAUGGUGAGCCAAUCACAAAAAGUACGUCUCAGUUCGGAUUGCAGGCUGCAACUCGCCUGCAUGAAGUUGGAAUCGCUAGUAAUCGUGCAUCAGCAAUGGCGCGGUGAAUACGUUCCCGGACCUUGUACACACCGCCCGUCAAGCGAUGGAAGUCGGGAGGACCUGAAGACAGUAGCUGUAAGGCGCUGUUUAGGGUUAAACUGAUGACUGGCGCUAAGUCGGAACAAGGUA
rnacentral:rRNA from 1 species